rnacentral:tRNA from 1 species
GGUCUCAUGGUGUAAUGGUUAGCACACUGGACUCUGAAUCCAGCGAUCCGAGUUCAAAUCUCGGUGAGACCU